rnacentral:rRNA from 1 species
ACUUAGCAUAUCAAUAAGCGGAGGAAAAGAAACCAACAGGGAUUGCCCUAGUAACGGCGAGUGAAGCGGCAACAGCUCAAAUUUGAAAUCUGGCGUCUUUGGCGUCCGAGUUGUAAUUUGCAGAGGGCGCUUUGGCAUUGGCAGCGGUCCAAGUUCCUUGGAACAGGACGUCACAGAGGGUGAGAAUCCCGUACGUGGUCGCUAGCCUUUACCGUGUAAAGCCCCUUCGACGAGUCGAGUUGUUUGGGAAUGCAGCUCUAAAUGGGAGGUAAAUUUCUUCUAAAGCUAAAUACUGGCCAGAGACCGAUAGCGCACAAGUAGAGUGAUCGAAAGAUGAAAAGCACUUUGGAAAGAGAGUUAAAAAGCACGUGAAAUUGUUGAAAGGGAAGCGCUUGCAGCCAGACUUGCCUGUAGUUGCUCAUCCGGGUUUCUACCCGGUGCACUCUUCUAUAGGCAGGCCAGCAUCAGUUUGGGCGGUUGGAUAAAGGUCUCUGUCAUGUACCUCCUUUCGGGGAGAACUUAUAGGGGAGACGACAUGCAACCAGCCUGGACUGAGGUCCGCGCAUCUGCUAGGAUGCUGGCGUAAUGGCUGUAAGCGGCCCGUCUUGAAACACGGACCAAGGAGUCUAACAUCUAUGCGAGUGUUUGGGUGUCAAGCCCGAGCGCGUAAUGAAAGUGAACGGAGGUGGGAACCUUUCGGGGUGCACCAUCGACCGAUCCUGAUGUCUUCGGAUGGAUUUGAGUAAGAGCAUAGCUGUUGGGACCCGAAAGAUGGUGAACUAUGCUUGAAUAGGGUGAAGCCAGAGGAAACUCUGGUGGAGGCUCGCAGCGGUUCUGACGUGCAAUCGAUCGUCAAAUUUGGGCAUAGGGGCGAAAGACUAAUCGAACUAUCUAGUAGCUGGUUCCUGCCGAAGU